GACGAACCGUGCGAACGUUGUUCGGAAUCAUUGGGCGUAAAGAGCGUGUAGGCGGCCAGGUAGGUCGGUUGUGAAAACUGGAGGCUCAACCUUCAGAGGUCGACCGAAACCAUCUGGCUAGAGUCCGGGAGAGGAGAGUGGAAUUCCUGGUGUAGCGGUGAAAUGCGCAGAUAUCAGGAAGAACACCCGUGGCGAAAGCGGCUCUCUGGAACGGUACUGACGCUGAGACGCGAAAGCGUGGGGAGCGAACAGG
rnacentral:rRNA from 1 species